GGACAACCUGCCCUCGGGAGGGGGAUAACCCCGGGAAACUGGGGCUAAACCCCCAUAGGGGAUGGAUACUGGAAUGUUCCAUCUCCGAAAGUCCGCAAGGAGCCCGAGGAUGGGUCUGCGGCGGAUUAGGUAGUUGGUGGGGUAACGGCCCACCAAGCCUAAGAUCCGUACGGGCCAUGGGAGUGGGAGCCCGGAGAUGGACCCUGAGACAAGGGUCCAGGCCCUACGGGGCGCAGCAGGCGCGAAACCUCCGCAAUGCGGGAAACCGCGACGGGGUCAGCCGGAGUGCCGAUGCUUGCAUCGGCUGUCGGGGAGCCUAAAAAGCUCUCCAAGCAAGGGCCGGGCAAGGCCGGUGGCAGCCGCCGCGGUAAUACCGGCGGCCCGAGUGGCGGUCACUAUUAUUGGGCUUAAAGCGUCCGUAGCCGGGUUGGUUAGUCUCCCGGGAAAUCUGGCCGCUCAACGGUCAGAAUUCCGGGAGAUACUGCCAGCCUAGGGACCGGGAGAGGUCGAGGGUAUUCCCGGAGUAGGGGUGAAAUCCUAUAAUCCCGGGAGGACCACCUGUGGCGAAGGCGCUCGGCUGGAACGGGUCCGACGGUGAGGGACGAAGGCCAGGGGAGCAAACCGGAUUAGAUACCCGGGUAGUCCUGGCUGUAAACGAUGCGGACUUUGUGUCGGACAAGCUAUGAGCUUGUCCGGUGCCGGAGGGAAACCGUU
rnacentral:rRNA from 1 species